UCACAUCUUACGACGGCAGUCUCUCCAGAGUCCUCAGCAUGACCUGUUAGUAACUGAAGAUAAGGGUUGCGCUCGUUAUGGCACUUAAGCCGACACCUCACGGCACGAGCUGACGACAACCAUGCAGCACCUUCACACCUGCCUUACGGCUAACAUGUUUCCACAUUAUUCAGGUGCAAUUUAAGCCCGGGUAAGGUUCCUCGCGUAUCAUCGAAUUAAACCACAUGUUCCUCCGCUUGUGCGGGCCCCCGUCAAUUCCUUUGAGUUUCACCGUUGCCGGCGUACUCCCCAGGUGGAAUACUUAAUGCUUUCGCUUGGCCGCUUGCUGUAUAUCGCAAACAGCGAGUAUUCAUCGUUUACUGUGUGGACUAC
rnacentral:misc_RNA from 1 species